UACAGAGGUGCCAAGCGUUAGGCGGAAUCACUGGGCUUAAAGCGCGUGUAGGUGGGUCGUUAAGUGUCCGCGUGAAAUCCCACGGCUCAACCGUGGAACUGCCGGGCAUACUGGCGAUCUUGAGGCAUUCAGGGGCGAGCGGAACAAAUGGUGGAGCGGUGAAAUGCGUAGAUAUCGGGAAGAAUACCGGUGGCGAAGGCGUUCCGCUGGGCCGUUGCUGACGCUGAGGCGCGACAGCGUGGGGAGCAAACAGG
rnacentral:rRNA from 1 species